rnacentral:tRNA from 4 species
UAGAGUACUCGGCUACGAACCGAGCGGUCGGAGGUUCGAAUCCUCCCGGAUGCACCA